rnacentral:sRNA from 1 species
GAACUCAGGGACUCAGAGUGAUGGCGAGGAGAAGCAGCCCGGCCUGGUGAUGGAGCGUGCUCUGCUCAGUGAUGAGAGUGAGUUGGGUGGGAGAGGGUGGGGCUGGCAGGAGGGGUGGGGAAGGGGGGUCAGGGUCAAGGGAGGCUGGGCAGGCCAUUGCCCUGAGGCGGGGUACAGAUCCAUCGGCACCCACAGAGAAAGGGGGUGGAAGGGCUGUGGCUAGCUGCCCCAAGGGCCUCAGUGGGCCUCUGUUCCCACCCGGCCUGCAGGAGUCCUGAAGGAAAUCCAGAGCACACUGGAGGGAGACCGCGGGUGAGGCAACGCCCAGGCCAGCUGGGGUGGGCCCGAGGCUCUGCCAGGGGGCUUGGGAACGCUGAGAGUGGAGGUCCCUGAGGUCAUGACUCCCCUGUCUUUGCCUGUGCAGGAGCCGCAACUGGCGUUCACAUCGAGCGGCCGUGGGGUGCAGCCUCGGCAAUGGCGGAG